GUAUGUUUAUUAAAUAUUUGUUGAGCUCCAAUCAUAUGGUAGCAUUGUGGAACAUUUAAGUGUGGUUCUUGUCCUUGUUUUCUUAUUAUCUUCUUUGGUUUUUUUCUUAACAGAUCUGACUAGCUCCUGCAGCUUUGAAAAAGAAUUUAAAGCCCAUAAAUUUCACAAAUCCUAAGCAAAGAAGCAUAUAUUAGUUCUUCAAAGCAUAUUGGUAUAUUUUUUAACUGCGGAUUUUAGCUUUCAUGUGAUAAAAGUUUUAGUGAUUUCCUUACCAUGUCUUGUUAAGGCUUAAGUUCCUCAUUUACAUAUUUGAUGUCUCUCAGGAGACAGACAAGCUUCAAGUUAAUUAUCUAUGUAGCUGUAAGAACUCUUGUUUCCUGGUUAAGAACUCUCCAAAAGAAAACUAAUAGUUAUUAAAUGUUACACUGAGUCACCAAAAGUAAUCAGGAUACACAAUGAGAGGCACUAAACAGGCACUUAAAUUUAAUAAAAACCUCAACUUUUUGUAAGAUAAAUGAAAUAUAAAUCAAUUAAAUCUCUUACAGUAAUUUUCAGGGAAAACAGCCAGCAGACACCAAACAGCUAAAAUCUCUGCUCUAGAAAGUGAUUAGGCACUGCUGGAGGCUUGAGGAAAUUACUGUAAAAUUCUGGAUAUAGACCCAUUGAACUAAGAUUUGUAAUGGAGUUGUAAUUAAAGAAAUGCCACAUCAAAAGAAAUGUUAGUGUUUCCCACACCGAGUGCGGAUAACAUAUGUGGACCAAAAUGAUCAUCUUUGAAUCUGCAAGUCUGUUAAGGAGCAGUUUCAUGGAAUGAUAACAAGAAAGAGAAGAAAGAAGGGCAAGCAUAAGAUAGACUUGAGUUGCAGUUGGGAAAUUGGAACCACAGCUAUCAGGAGGAGCCACAACUCUGCAGACCAGGAUUCCUGGAGUCUCACCCUUCUCAAUCAAUGCUGCAAGAAAACAAGGCCAGAGGUGAUCUGAAUCAGGGACCAGAUGCUUGGAGUUGGACUGAAGCUUUUACCCCAGCUUCCUUCCAAAAUGUAUCAUCCUAAAACUUUUGGAUAAAAUUAGUAAAACUUACUACAUACCCAUCAUAAAUAAAGUCCGUAAUGUAAGAGCUUAUCAUGUUAUAAAAAAUAGCUCUGUAGAAAAGCUUUUCACAUCUGAUGGCUAAUUAUAUAACAAAAUUUAAUAAAAUUUAUUAAACCUG